rnacentral:rRNA from 1 species
UACGGGGGGGGUAAGCGUUGUUCGGAAUUACUGGGCGUAAAGGGCUCGUAGGCGGCCAACUAAGUCGGACGUGAAAUCCCUCAGCUUAACUGGGGAACUGCGUCCGAUACUGGAUGGCUUGGAUUUGGGAGAGGGAUGCGGAAUUCCAGGUGUAGCGGUGAAAUGCGUAGAGAUGUGGAGGAACACCGAUGGCGAAGGCAGCCUCCUGGGCCGACACUGACGCUCAUGCACGAAAGCGUGGGGAGCAAACAGG